AGCCACCUCACUACCACAGUAGGUCCUUCUGGAGAGGAGACCAUGAGGUAGCUGGUGUCCUAUCCCAUGUCCCCAACCCUGGCAGUCAGCGUGGCCCAGAUCUUUGCAGGAUAUCCUCCUCCGACUCAUGGUGAAAAAUCCUGCAACAGUUAUACGAACAGGAAGUGGAACCCAUGAACUAGUC